AAGCCAGCGAGAGGUGAUGAUGACUUUCAGAAAGUCCCCUCCCUCCCCUCAACUCUGGCAGGGAUCUCUUCCCUCUGUGGGUUUCACUAACACCAACCUCGGUGACACCUAGUUUCCAGAAAGAGACACAGGCAGUAGGAAAGUUCAAAGGCACAUGCAGCUUGUCACAUUAGGGACAAGAAGCCAGGCUCCUGAUUUCAUUUCUACCAGCGAGGAUCUGGGGGCAGGACCCACUCCUGACAAUGACAGUGUUCCCUGCAGACAUUUCUCUGAGACAAGAGAUCUAAACCAGCACGGGAACCAGCCCAGAGUUCCCACCAGGGAGCAUGCUGAGGCAGAGCUGGGGGCUGGCACGUGGCGCCUCCACACCCAGGGCACUGCCCCCAAUGCAACGACCACCUGCUGCCCAGAGACACCCAGGAACCACAGGAGCCAGCCAAUAGCUCUGCAUCCUGAGCCCAGGCGGUGAGAUGUGUGUUUCUGUCCAGGGGCUCAAACCUGCCACACAGCUCUGGAACAGACCUGGUCACUCCCUCCCCUUCCUGUCCCCUCUGUCCUCUGUGUCCUACACAGCUCUUCAGUUACGAAUUUGUCCUACCAACCUUCUCCCCCUCAUGACCGGAGGGGAAAAAACCCUUAGCAUCAAGGAAAAAACCCUCAAUAAUGUUUGGUCUCCCUCUUAGCACUUAGCCUACUAAUAAUGCUGGUACCAAUAAAUGCUGUUGAAUAACUGAA